GUUUGUUUAAAAAUACACUUUGAUUGAAGGUGAUGCCUUGAUAGACAAACUCGAAAAAAUAAUUUUGGUGGUUUCAUCUCUAAGGUGAUUUCAAGCUCAUAAUAUACUUACAUGGAUAGCGAUUUCAAGCUCAAGGAAAAAUAAGUCAAGGCAGGCGAAGAAAAGUAUUGGCAAUGCACAAAGCAGUGGAAGACUAUGAGAUAUGCUUAGCUAGUGUUGCGAGAAAUGCUGUAUAUCUGGCGUAUAUUAUGUUGUUUCCAAGUUUGUUAUUUGUGUUGGUUUGGAAGUGUUGCGUCUGGUUUGUCAAUAAGUAUAUCUAAGUAUGCUAUUGCUCAGACUUUGCAAUUAGAUGCAGAUGUAGAUGCUGUUGCAGCUGGCUCUAUAUGUAUAGAUAAUUUAGCUGCACAGAGGCUGCUACUCUUGCUCCUUUAGCUGUGUAACAACACAUAAUUAGAAGCUCAUUGAAAUGCAAUAACUUUCCUCAAAUAAUACAAUACAUUAUGAGGAACUAUAUAUUACCUAGAGGAAUUGCAUACAUAUGUAUGAAUCUAAUUGCAUACAUAUUUUGCUCAGUAUAAUUAUUCAAAUGUCUUGAAUUGUUUGCAUAUCAUAUGUUACUCCUUAAGUCCAGAAACAUACACCGGGAGUGCAAUGAUGGAAUAAUGCUUUAGGAAGUGGAUUUGGAGGAUAGCAAGUAAGUGAAACAAAAGGUGGGCAACCUCUGUACUAUAUGAAUGUUAUCUCAGCUUUUUCAAGUUUUUAUAUAUCAGCCCAGCAUAGAGUUUUAAUUGUGAUGUAGGCUGGUGGAAUUCACACGCGCCACGAAUCAGCCCAAUCAAGAUGUGAAUUCACUUUACAUAACAGUGAAGAAAGAGUAGAUGGUGGUGCAACUUCAACUGUAAUGCAGAAAAUUCAAAUUCUCCGAUCUUUAUACCUACCACGCUGGCUGCCAGUGGUGAGGCGCAACAAGUUGAUGCGCAUGGGAUGAAAGAAAAACAAGUGCAGGUCGAUGAAUUUGCAAUUAGAUGCAGCUGUAGCUGCAGUUAGCUCUACAUGUGUAGAUCAUUUGCUGCUGCUCUUGCUCCUCCUUCUGUGAAACAACAAACAAGAAGCUCACAGUUUCAUCCCUACCAAAUCGACAAUGCCUUGAUUGUUGUUCAACAGCCCGACUCAACUUCCGCUCUAGUUUUGGUGAUGCUAAGCUUCGAUAGUACUCUGUUGCAGACUCACCAACUUUGGCUGCAAAAACUAACUCAUGAUGCAAAAAGUUGUAAACUGCCCAGAAAGAUAAACUUAUCUUUCCUGUUCCUUCCUUUUUCAUGUUCAAAGAUAUAAUCUUAUCUUUCCUGUUCCUUUAUUUUUUGUGUUCAAAGAUAAUCCAACAUUUUAAGUGAGCAAAUGUAAAAUACCACCACAACACUACGUCUUUCAUGUGUGUUAAUGAGCUCAAGUGACUGUAUAACCUGAAAGUGACAUGCUUGAAUAUAGGCGGGUACAGUGAUGAAAAAGUUAUGAAUGCAAUACAAUGCCAUUCUCCUCAUCUCUUUCACCAAUUGAGCUCAAAUGCCACACAACUGAGUGGCUCAAAUUUGUAAAGCAGAAUAAUGCGUGUAAUGCCACUUCCACUAUUACUAUUCAUAUUUGUACUGCUUUCUACCGCAGCUGGUAGUUGUGAUAAUAUAAGGAAAGCUGAAAAAGUUAAUCCAAAUGUAGAUAUAACUGUCACCUCCUUCACUGAUACAUUGUGCUUUGAAUAUCUUCAACAGACCGGAACAUGGCUAUUACCUCCUUCACUGAUGAGCAUACUACUUCUCCUGUUCCUCCAUCAAGAAUCUUUCAAGGCCUUCAUGGUUGAUUCUCACAAUUUCAUGCCAAAGUUGAUGCCACGAGCUAUUAAAAAGUAUUGAAUUUUUCCAGGGUGAUGGAAGUGUUGAUUAGACUCCCUUUUUAAUCUUUAGUAAUUUUUAACCGUGGUUUCUUUUCUGCAGGUGGAAACUUUAAGUCCAUAUAUAAGUAUUGGAUCGAUGAGUUCAAUGCCGAGAAGUUUGUUUAAAAAUACACUUUGAUUGAAGGUGAUGCCUUGAUAGACAAACUCGAAAAAAUAAUUUUGGUGGUUUCAUCUCUAAGGUGAUUUCAAGCUCAUAAUAUACUUACAUGGAUAGCGAUUUCAAGAUCAAGGAAAAAGAAGUCAAGGCAGGCGAAGAAAAGUAUUGGCAAUGCACA
rnacentral:lncRNA from 1 species